rnacentral:rRNA from 1 species
AUGAAAGGGUUCGACGAGGGCUGGAGGAGCCAGAUUGAAUCGUUUACGCAGAAGGGUAGUGUUGGUAUUAAAGUGAAUGACGACAUUGGUCAUUACUUCCAGACACACAAGGGCUUGCGGCAAGGUGAUCCGAUGUCCCCUAUUCUGUUCAACAUAGUGGUGGACAUGUUGGCAGUUCUGAUAGGGAGAGCCAAGGAGGCAGGCCAAGUUGGAGGCUUGGUGCCUCAUUUAGUGAAUGGAGGUAUUUCCAUCCUGCAGUACGCUGAUGACACUAUCAUCUUCAUGGAGCAUGACUUGGUAAAAGCAAGAAAUAUGAAGCUGUUGCUUUGUUUGUUUGAGCAAUUGAGUGGGCUCAAAAUUAACUUCCAUAAAAGUGAGUUGUUCUGCUUUGGUAGAGCCAAAGAGGAACAAGAAGCCUAUAAACAAUUGUUUGGGUGUGGUUUGGGGGAGUUACCAUUCACAUACCUAGGGAUUCCAAUACAUCACCGUAGGCUUACGAACAAUGAAUGGAAGUGUAUUGAAGAUCGAUUUGAGAAAAAGCUAAGCUGUUGGAAGGGUAAGCUAAUGUCAUAUGGAGGCCGGUUAAUUCUUAUUAAUUCGGUGUUGACGAGUAUGCCCAUGUUCCUUUUGUCUUUUUUUGAAGUACCGGUUGGGGUAAGGAAAAGACUGGACUUCUAUCGAUCGCGGUUCUUUUGGCAGGGAGAUGAGCUAAAAAGAAAAUACCGGUUAGCGAAGUGGGAUAUCAUUUGUAGGCCGAAAGACCAAGGGGGUAUGGGGAUUGAAAAUCUCGAGGUCAAGAACCGAUGCCUUCUUAGUAAGUGGUUAUGGAAGUUAGCUUCAGCAACUGAAGCCACUUGGGCUCAAAUCCUUCGUAAUAAGUAUCUUCAAACCAAAACUUUGUCUCAGGUCACGGUUAGACCGACUGAUUCACCCUUUUGGAAAGGGCUAAUGAAAGUUAAGCUUUCAUUCUUUCAGAGGGCAAAGCAUGUUGUUGGAAAUGGUGCCAGCACAAGAUUCUGGGAGGAUUGUUGGCUCGGUGAUACGCCCCUUGCAAUCCAGUAUCCGGCGUUGUAUCGUGUUGUACAAAGGCGUGAUACUCUGGUUGCAACAGUCUUUCGUUCCAUUCCACUUAAUAUUCAAUUUAGAAGAUCGUUAGUGGGCAAUCGUUGGGAACAGUGGCUGCAUCUAGUUAGGAGACUGAUGCAGGUCCAGCUUUCACAACAACCUGAUAAACUGCGCUGGAAUCUCACUAGGUCGGGGGAAUUCACAGUUAAAUCCAUGUAUGUUGCUGUUAUCAACUCCAGCUCGAUUCCUACUUCCAAGCAUGUGUGGGAUGUCAAAGUUCCUUUGAAGAUUAAGGUGUUUAUGUGGUUUCUUCAUAAACAAGUCAUCUUAACAAAGGAUAAUUUAAAAAAGCGCAAUUGGACAGGUCCUACUAGGUGUAGUUUCUGUGAUCAGGGUGAAACCAUUAAGCAUUUAUUCCUUGAGUGCCCACUAGCUAGAAUUCUUUGGACAACUGUUCAUGUUGCUUUCAAUAUUACUCCACCAAAUUCGGUGAAUAUGAUGUUUGGAGCUUGGCUUAAUAGGGUAGAGCCCGGGUUAGCUAAACAUAUUUGCGUGGGGGUGUGCGCCUUAGUGUGGGCACUGUGGAAUUGCAGAAAUGAUCUUGUUUUUAACAGAACAACAAAAACUCAUGUUUUGCAGGUUAUCUUCAGAGCCACGGCACUUAUCCGUUCCUGGUCGCUACUCACUCCGACGGAGGCCAGGGAGCGUUUGGUUACUGGUGCUAUCCGAUGGGAGACGGUAGCUCGGGAUAUCUUCAGCCGGUUUGGAUGGCGGUCAUGUAAUAGGAUAGGCAAUUAG